ACUGCCUAGACCUGGCACCAACAUCAAUUGGGGGUGGCCGGUGGCCAAGGAGGGCUGGGUGGUUCCCAAACAACUAGGAAUCGAUUUUCUUCUGGAAUGAGCUGGGUCCCCUUUGUCAAGCCAAGUUUGGGCGCUACUUACAUGAUGACCAGAGCGGCAUCCCGGGAGUAAUCCAGCAGAAUCUCGUUCAGCCUCACCUGCCGAAGGGACUGGGCGAGGAAAAGCCACGUGGUCACUUCCCAUGUCUGAACUUCCACAAGUCGUCCACGAAGACCAACCUGUGAUCCACCUCCAUCCACCUGUCCAUCCCCCAGUCUAGGUGGGGGCAGGAAGGACCAUGUCCUUGCACUUGGCUCACCAGAGAGAAAGGGCCGACCCUUCUGCCUGGAACCCCCAGCACAGAAAACUCACUGCUCAGCCUGCGGCUUCUGGUUGAUGUCGGGAAGGAUGUGAACUUCGUGGAAUCCCAGCCGGAACUUGCUCAGCAGAGAAAUGAUCCUGGGAGAUGGAGAUUUUUUUUCUUUAAUGUAUUCAUUCAUUCAAUGAGUUUUUAUUGAGCUCCUGUGGAGGAUAUAGCAGCAAGCAAAACAAACCCUGCCCUCGGGGAGUUUACAUUCUAACCUGGGAGGAGGGCAGA